ACCCGCUGAACUUAAGCAUAUCAAUAAGCGGAGGAAAAGAAACCAACAGGGAUUGCCUUAGUAACUGCGAGUGAAGCGGCAAAAGCUCAAAUUUGAAAUCUGGUGCCUUCGGCGCCCGAGUUGUAAUUUGGAGAGACAUCUUCGGAGUAGACGCCGUCCUAAGUUCCUUGGAACAGGACGUCACAGAGGGUGAGAAUCCCGUGCCUGGAUGGCUGUUCUACUUCAUGUGAAGUGUCUUCGACGAGUCGAGUUGUUUGGGAAUGCAGCUCAAAAUGGGAGGUAAAUUUCUUCUAAAGCUAAAUAUUGGCGAGAGACCGAUAGCGCACAAGUAGAGUGAUCGAAAGAUGAAAAGCACUUUGAAAAGAGAGUUAAAAAGUACGUGAAAUUGUUGAAAGGGAAGCGCUUGAGACCAGACUCGACCAGUGGUGAUCAGCGGUGCUUCUGUGCCGUGCACUUGCCAUUGGUUGGGCCAGCAUCGGUUUGGACGGCGGGAUAAAGACCUAAGGAAUGUGGCUCCCUCCGGGGAGUGUUAUAGCCUUGAGUGCAAUGCCGCCAGUCUGGACCGAGGACCGUGCUUCGGCUAGGAUGCUGGCGUAAUGGUCUU
rnacentral:rRNA from 1 species